rnacentral:lncRNA from 1 species
GAGUUUGUGGUAUAGGGUUCGGGAGGACUGGACACUUCCAAAGAGGCAUAAGGUGCUACAGACUUGCCCAGCAGGUGGCAUCAGAUCAAAGCUGGCUACGGACCUUGUCAGUACAAAUGAUAGAACAUUAAAAAUGUAAAAACUGAACUGUAGCUCCUUAUUUAUGCAUAUAUUGGGGAUGCUGAAAAGUUACCGAUGCCUGAUUCCUCUUCUAUGUCCUCAGCCCUCACCAUAAAAAUAGAUAAAUGCCAUUUUUUUUUUGUAUGCCCAGCACAGCUCUAUGAUUUGAACGAUGUUGAUGAGCAGGGUCACAUUUGAGGAGAUUUGCUAAGGGAAAUAAAGAUCCAUCUGUGACACAAGAAACAUGUUUUAUGUGAUUUCUGGGAUUUUCCUGUGAAGAUACUUUUUGUUUGUUUGUUUGUUUUACAGUGGAUCUCACUCUGUCACACAGGCUGGAGUUCAGGAGUGCAAUCAUAGCUCACUGUAACCUUGAGCUCCUGGGCUCAGGAGAUCCUCUCUCCUCAGUCUCCCAAGUAGCUAGGACUAUAAGCACAUGCCACCAUGCCUGGCUCAUUUUAAAAUUUUUUGUAGAGACGGGUCUCACUAUAUUGCCGAGGCUGGUAUUGAACUCCUGGUAUUGAACUCCUGGGCUCAACUCCUCCUGCCUCAGCCUCCCAAAGUGUUGGGAUUACAGGUGUGAACCACAGUAUCCAACCUAUUAUGUUUUUUAAAAAGAGAUUUUUCUAAUUAUGUAUAUAAUUACAGCACCUUUAGUUUAGUGAUUGCAAUUUGAGAAACCAAUGUCCUUUCUUAUUAAAAAGGCCCUUGUACAGAAAGUGCUCUAUCUUCCUCACAAGAUCUGGGGUCAAAGGAGAGAUUUUGAAACAUUAUAGCAAUGGCUUCUAGUUACUGAAUAAAGAAUGUCAUUUGCUCCUCACAGGACCCCUUUCAGGGGGAUUUUACAUAUUGGGAAACAGCCUCAUGAGCUUUCUACAAACAUCUUUGUCCUCGAGUCUUCCCAUUUCAGCAAUUGGCUGUACCACUCAUCCAGCAGCUUUCAAAGUUAGAAACAUGGCAAUCUUCCUUUAACAUCCAUUUGCCUUUCCCUCAUUCCCCCAUAUCCAAUUCUGUGUAUUGGAGGUUUUCCCACCUCUAAACUUGAGAAUCCAUUUACUUUUUCUCCAUCUCCUUUGCCAUCACACUAGUCCAAGUGAAGGGUUUCAUCGUCUCAUUUGCAGUAUCCUUUAGUUUACGUUAGAUUAUCAAUUUUUGUCCCCCUCCCAAUUCAGUCUCUAUAAAGUGUUCAUUCUGACCAUGCCAUUCCUUGCUCAAACUUCUCUAGUGCCUUCCCAAUAAUUUUAUUACAAUAAAAUUCCUCAUAUGGCCUUUGUGGAUCUGCACUCUACCUCUUCUCCUAUUGCAACCAACCCUGUUACCUUUUUUCUCUUUCACACUGGUCUUCAUUCUGUGCUGCAAACUGGCUGAGUUUCUUCCAUCCUCAGGGCCUUUUGCACAAGUUCUUCCUUUGCCUUAGAAUUCUUUCCUGGCCUGCACACCUCUUCAUCCCCUUUCCCUAAGCUAAUGCCUUACCCUUUAGGUCUCAUUUUAAACAUCUCUUACCCAGGAAAAGUUUCCCUGUCCAAACAAGUCUAGAUUGGUUCCCCUUUGUUUGUUCUAACUGUUCUAUAUUUCUCCUUCUUAGCAUUUAUCACAAUUCUUGAUAUGUUGUCCUUUUCAUUUUCUCAGUCUCUAUUAUUGGAGUAGGUAAUACAUCCAUAUAGUACAAAAUUCAAAGUGUAUUAAAGGUAUAGAGUAAAAAGUCUUCUCUUCCCUGUCCCCCUGCUACCCAGUUCUCCUCUUUAGAACCACUUUUAGCAUUUUGAAUAUCCUUCCCGAAAUAUUUUCUAAGUAUACAAGCAAUUAUGUAUAUAAUAUUCCUCUUUAUUUUUGCCUUUUAUUAAUACAGAUACUAUAUGCAUUUUCUGCACUUUGUCUGUUAAUAAUGUAUCUUGGCAAUUAUUCUAUAUUAAUAUGUAAAUAGUUGCCUCUUUCUUUUUCAUGCGCCAUAUAGUAUGGACUUUUAUUUAACCUCUCUCUAGGUUGGUUUUAGGCAUUGGUUAUUACAAAUAAUGCUGCAUUGAAUAUCUUUGUAUGUAAAGUCAUUUCCCAUGUCUAUGCCUAUAGAAUAAAUUACUAGAAUUGAAAUAAUUAAGUUAAAGAUUAUGUGCAUUUUUAAUUUUGAUAGUUACUGCCAAACUGCUCUCAAUGGAAGUUUUACCAAUUCCCACUAGUGAAUGCAUUUGUCCUCACAAUUACGCCAGUGAAAUUUUGUUCUUUGCCAAUGCAAGAAAUGGAAAGUAUCUCUUGGAAACUAAUUUGCAUGUUUUUUUUUCCUUGCACAGUUAUAUUUUCAUAUGUUAAAGAGCCAUUUGUAUUUCUUGGUGAACUGUUCAUAAACUUUGCUUAGUUAUUAUCUAAUGUCUGACUAAUUUGCUACACUCUAAAUUCCCAAUUCAUACUGAAGUAUCGCCCUUGCAAUUUAGAUGUACAAUCUUCCUCUUCAGUGGUUUCCACACCAAAAAAUCCACAGGCUCCUGAAUUUUAUAUGGGCCUAAGAGUCUUACUGAAAAUUGGAAGUCUUAAGGUGUAGUCCAUUUUAUGCAGUGUGAGGCCUUUCAUGUUCUGAAAUGUACCACUCUUGACUGACUUUUUCUUCUUCACCCUGUCCAGCACUGUGCCCUUAUUAUCAAGAUAAAUGUUCCCCUUUCUCCCAGGAAACGUUCUGACCUUACCCUGGUCCCUCAAGGACUCUCCUUCUCCCCCAAAUUAACUUUCAAGGAGUUUCUCCAACCCAAAAUGGCACCUUCCUGAAAAGAUUUCUAGUGGAUACUGUUUUCUCUACCUCACUACAGAUGUAUUUUGCUGCUUGGCUCUCCUCUCUCCACUUUGCUAUGGCAAACAUUUUUUUCCAGAAAUAUAUCAAAUAAAAUGAACAUGUGGCCCC